UACGUAGGGUGCAAGCGUUGUCCGGAAUUAUUGGGCGUAAAGAGCUCGUAGGCGGUUUGUCGCGUCUGCUGUGAAAACCGGAGGCUCAACCUCCGGCCUGCAGUGGGUACGGGCAGACUAGAGUGCGGUAGGGGAGAUUGGAAUUCCUGGUGUAGCGGUGGAAUGCGCAGAUAUCAGGAGGAACACCAAGUGGCGAAGGCAGAUCUCUGGGCCGUAACUGACGCUGAGGAGCGAAAGCAUGGGGAGCGAACAGG
rnacentral:rRNA from 1 species